rnacentral:rRNA from 1 species
UGAGAGGUGGUGCAUGGCCGUCGUCAGUUCGUACUGUGAAGCAUCCUAGUUAAGUCAGGACACGAGCGAGACCCACGUCCACAGUUGCCAGCAUACCCUCCGGGGUGAUGGGUACACUGUGGAGACCGCCGCUGCUAAAGCGGAGGAAGGAGUGGGCAACGGUAGGUCAGUAUGCCCCGAAUCUCCCGGGCUACACGCGGGCUACAAUGGUUGGUACAAUGGGCAUCUACCCCGAAAGGGGAAGGAAAUCUCUUAAAGCCAAUCGUAGUUCGGAUUGAGGGCUGCAACUCGCCCUCAUGAAGCUGGAAUCCGUAGUAAUCGCGUUUCAACAGAACGCGGUGAAUACGUCCCUGCUCCUU